GCGGGCAACCCUGAUCCAGCCAUGCCGCGUGUGUGAAGAAGGCUUUCGGGUUGUAAAGCACUUUCAGUGAGGAGGAAGGCUGUAAGGUUAAUACCCUUGCAGAUUGACGUUACUCACAGAAGAAGCACCGGCUAACUCCGUGCCAGCAGCCGCGGUAAUACGGAGGGUGCAAGCGUUAAUCGGAAUUACUGGGCGUAAAGCGCGCGUAGGUGGUUUGAUAAGCGAGAUGUGAAAGCCCCGGGCUUAACCUGGGAACGGCAUUUCGAACUGUCAGGCUAGAGUGUGGUAGAGGUUAGUGGAAUUUAAUGUGUAGCGGUGAAAUGCGUAGAUAUAGGAAGGAACGACCAGUGGCGAUCAGGCGGCUACCUGGACCAACACUGACACU
rnacentral:rRNA from 1 species